AGUGAACGCUGGCGGUAGGCCUAACACAUGCAAGUCGAACGGCAGCACAGGAGAGCUUGCUCUCUGGGUGGCGAGUGGCGGACGGGUGAGGAAUACAUCGGAAUCUACUCUGUCGUGGGGGAUAACGUAGGGAAACUUACGCUAAUACCGCAUACGACCUACGGGUGAAAGCAGGGGACCCUCGGGCCUUGCGCGAUUGAAUGAGCCGAUGUCGGAUUAGCUAGUUGGCGGGGUAAAGGCUCACCAAGGCGCCGAUCCGUAGCUGGUCUGAGAGUAUGAUCAGCCACACUGGAACUGAGACACGGUCCAGACUCCUACGGGAGGAAGCAGUGGGGAAUAUUGGACAAUGGGCGCAAGCCUGAUCCAGCCAUACCGCGUGGGUGAAGAAGGCCUUCGGGUUGUAAGGCCCUUUUGUUGGGAAAGAAAUCCAGCUGGCUAAUACCCGGUUGGGAUGACAGUACCCAAAGAAUAAGCACCGGCUAACUUCGUGCCAGCCGCCGCCGUAA
rnacentral:rRNA from 1 species